UCUCCAUAAUCAACCUGGGGUGGGUGGCAGGUGGUAGAUGGUAGAUGUUGGGUUAGUGGUUGUAGUGGUGGUAGUGGAGGCAGAUGGGAGGGAGAGUUAUAUCUAUUAUAUAUAAUAAAUAAUAUGUGUGGGAUGUGUAUCAUGUGAUUAAGGGAAUGAGAAUUAUGUUUUGGUGGAUAACUUUUGGGUGAAUCUUUUAUAUUUCUCGCGGACCAAAAUACCGGGUCUUACCGGAUCGAGAUACAUUUGGAUCAUAUUAAUAGUGUUGGGGAAAACACCAUUCCGUUCUAAACCCUAGCAUCCUUCCCCUUAAUCGCUCUACAUGAUGAACAUUUUCUUUUCUAGUUGAUUCAAUAUCCAGGAGUCCUUAGAUACACCAGAAACACAACAAUUGGCCUGAGCAUCUCAUGAGUCUCAAAAUGACAAAGACAUAAUAAUGUGACAGAAGCACAUGUUCCUGACUCUGGUUCAAUAUCCAUCUCAAGUAAAGAUGAUAUAAAGGUUUCCCGUGAGAAUAUUGAACUUGUAUAGAAAUUGUAUAUUUUGUUUUGCAUAUUAUUCUUUCUUGUAAAGUCAUAAAAAAUGCCUUAUGUGUGCAUAUCUAACCCAUGUUAGGUUCAGAGUUUUACGCUUAUCUUUAUUACGUUUAUUCAUAUUUAUUUGGUUUAAAUUAUGUAUUGGGCUUGGGCUAGGCCAUGUGGGCCAAUGGGGUAGUGGCUCCUAUAAAUAGUCUUGAUUAAAUUGUUAGUAGUAGAGCUCUCCCACAUAUUGUAAUCAUGUAGCCCCAAAUAGAGAACCUUGUACCAGAUAAUCCUAGGGAUUGUGUGCAAGGUUCUCGAAGAUCGUACCAGACAGUCUUUGAGACUGUGUGCGAUCUAAGCAGCGGCACUACGUUAUGUAAUGAAUAUUUUCUUUUUGUUCUUAUGGAUUGAUCUUACUUUCUGCAUUCGAUUAAUCCUAGAGUGAUAUCACGGGUUUUUCGGGACUAACAAGUGGUAUCAGAGCCAUUGAAGUCUUUCAAAGGCUCGGUUUUGAUAUCAUUCGAAGAACGAGAAGAUAUUUACACAGUGUUGGGAAUUUUGUUCGAAAAAGAAUAGAUCUCCGGUUCAUAAGAUCCGGCCCGGCAGCGGUGGCAGAUACUAUGACGUAUGGUACACGAAGAGGUGAACAAAAGUUGGAGAUAGUUUCGGAGGUGGUGUAGAAGAAGAAGCUUUGCUCAGUAACGGGGUAUGUGUGGUCACCGGCGAUGAGGAGACGAAAGAAGGUCACAGUUGAAGAUAAUGAUGCGUAACAGUGGUGAUCGGAGAUGGAAGGGAUGACCGGAACCGGAGACGAUGUUCGGUUUACGGUAUUGUACGGAGUGAUCGGUAGAGACGGAGGGUGUCGGAGGUAACGGCGGAAGAAAUCGGAGACUUUACGGUGAACGGUGGCCGGAGAAGAGAAGGGUGAUGGUACAGUCGCCGGUGAAGAUGGAUGAUACGGUGGUUGUCGUUUACGGUCGCCGGAGAUGAUGAAGAUAAGAGAUGGAGAAUGGGUGAUCGAUGAUCAGGAGACGGGUUGCAGGUUUUCGGUCGGAGAAUAUGUUGGAGGUUUCUCGGAAAUGAUUGUGAAGGUGGAGGUGACUGAGAUGAUGACCGGAAAUUAUGAAGGUUCCGGUGUACGGUGAACGGAGGUUGAUGAUUGUCUGCGAACGAAGAAGGUAAAUGUGAUGAUAUUCCGAGUUGUAGGUUUGAUAACGGUGAUAGAGAACGAUAGGUGGUAAUGAGCGGCAGGAUAUCUUGUUCCGGAGAAAUCAACGGCAGUCGCAGGAGGGUUGCGGCGACUCAUGGCGGUGAUGUUGGUCUUGAUGGUGUUGAUUGGUGGCUGCCAUGAGGAUUUCAAUGCUGCUGAUGUCAUGGCUGACGUCAUGGGAACAUUCCAUUGCGGCUGCAGAGGAUGUUUCAUCAGAAUUAUCGAAAAGAAACCUAAUAAUUUUGUCCGUUGGAUGAUUGAGCUGAUCGACGGCUUAGAUUGCUGCACUUGCAUGUUGUCGGCUGUCAUGGGCAAGGGUUUGGUAUGAGCUUGUGCAUGGGCUAAGGUAAUUAUGGGCUAAUGAUUAGAUUGCAUUUUUUUUGGGCCACGAGUUGAUUGUUCCAUAUAUGUGGCUGAAUGGUGAGACUGUUAUUCAUGGGGCCAGCCUGACAUGCUCACAACCAAGUUUUUUUUAAUUGUUUAGAGAAUAUUGACAACAUUUCAUGGGGCCACAUGCUUUAAAAAUAAUUUUCUAAACGGUGAUGUCAGCUGGUGCACAUGUUGCACUAAGGUUACAUGUGUUUUGGUAAGGGCCUGCUUAAAGUAGGAAGAAUGUUUUCAGAUAUGCUACUGGACCGAAGAUUGUGAGAUCAAAUAGCAGCAAUAAGUCUUCACCUUCGGUGGGCCCAAUUGAGUUUUAUUUCAGAAAUCAUCCGUGAUGGAUACAGAUCAGAAAUCAUCCGUUAUUAUCUGAGACGUUAUUAGAGAUUAAUAUCAUCCGAAAGACGCAACUACAUCCGAGAUCAUCAUUAGUUUAUCCGAGACACAUUCAUCCGAGAGCUUCGUCAUUCGUCCGACAUAAUUCAUUAUCAUCAUUUUUCAUCCGACAUAGAUUCUACCAUCAUCUGAGAUACGCUGCUGGACUCGUUCACUGCUGGGCCGCUAAAGGAGAAGACCCAAGGUUGGAGAUCAUCUAAGCCGUAAUAAAGAGAGCAUAAAACUAGGGGGAGAUUGUUAGGUCUAGAGUUUCACGCUUAUCUUUAUUACGUUUAUUCAUAUUUAUUUGGUUUAAAUUAUGUAUUGGGCUUGGGCUAGGCCAUGUGGGCCAAUAGGGUAGUGGCUCCUAUAAAUAGUCUUGAUUAGAUUGUUAUUAGUAGAGCUCUCCCACAUAUUGUAAUCAUGUAGCCCCAAAUAGAGAACCUUGUACCAGACAAUCCUAGGGAUUGUGUGCAAGGUUCUCGAAGAUCGUACCAGACAGUCUUUGAGACUGUGUGCGAUCUAAGCAGCGGCACUACGUUAUAUAAUGAAUAUUUUCUUUUUGUUCUUA